CCUACGGGAGGCAGCAGUGAGGAAUAUUGGUCAAUGGACUAGAGUCUGAACCAGCCAAGUAGCGUGAAGGAUGACUGCCCUAUGGGUUGUAAACUUCUUUUAUAUGGGAAUAAAGUGUUCCACGUGUGGGAUUUUGUAUGUACCAUAUGAAUAAGGAACGGCUAACUCCGUGCCAGCAGCCGCGGUAAUACGGAGGAUCCGAGCGUUAUCCGGAUUUAUUGGGGUUAAAGGGAGCGUAGGUGGAGUUUUCAGUCAGUUGUGAAAGUUGCCGGCUCAACCGUAACAUUGCAGUUGAAACUGGCAGUCUUGAGUACAGUAGAGGUGGGCGGAAUUCGUGGUGUAGCGGUGAAAUGCUUAGAUAUCACGAAGAACUCCGAUUGCGAAGGCAGUUCACUGGACUGCAACUGACACUGAGGCUCGAAAGUGUGGGUAUCAAACAGGAUUAGAUACCCUGGUAGUC
rnacentral:rRNA from 1 species